GUAAGAAGUAAUGAGAAUGAGAGAAGGUCUGUGGCUUCCUUUCAUAAUGACGGGGCGUGUUCUUUAGAGGAGGCGGAGAUAGUCAACAUUACAGUCUGAGGUUUUCUGUGACUAAAACAGAGAAGCAAUAACCAGAGUGAACUGAAGAGCAGCAUCAUGAUUACUUUCUUCUGUUUCACCUUCAGUGUUUUUCUCUUCUCAGGUUCGUCCCUCAGCCAAAUAGUCGAGCAGACGCCGACGCACAUGUUCAGCAAACCGGGAGAAAAACCCCAAAUCAACUGUAAACAUGAAAUCAAGGACUACAACCGAAUGCUCUGGUACAAACAGUUAAAGAACAGACAGAUGCAGUUCCUCGGAUACAUGAAUGUUAAAGACGGCUAUCCUGAAGAUGGAGUUCAUGUGAAGAUUGAAGGGAGCGCACUGGAACGCCAGAACUGCACGUUAACAAUAGAAGCAGUGGAGCUGAGCAGUAGUGCGGUGUAUUUCUGUGCUGCUAGUCUCCACAGUGCUUCAUAACUUUGCUCCUCAAUACAAAAACCUGCUGAUACUGUUUUUAUUUCAUCUCAGCGCUGCACUCCACAGCCCCUUACAGCUGUACCACGACAUACUAACCAAUGUCGGCCUUUUUUUCUAAUCCAGAUCUGAUAUAACAGGAGGAGGUUUCGUAUCAGCAGCAGUACUUCUGCGUUUGUUACACUUUCAGGAUUUGUCAUCAUCUCUAAAAUUCUCACACAUUUCAGUCAAGAAAAUUACAGAAAUAUAACCCUUUGUUUUUGUGGUGAUUGGACAUUUCUGUGUAUUUUUCCUUGUUUGGUGCUUGUGUUUUUUUUCUUUCAGAGGCUGGGUGUGGCUUAUUGGCUGCUGGAGCUCUCUGCAAUCACUCACCUGUUCGUCAUCUGUAAUCACCGGCUGCAGCAUUUAU